AGAGAGAGAGAGAGAGAGAGAAGGAGAGAUCAUACUGGAACGAUGCUGACCAAUUGAGAGACUCCGACAGAUGCUUCGACUCAAUUUGCAAAAACCCGUACGUCCAUCUCGUCGCCGACAUUCUAGACAACAACUUCAUCACUUUUAAUUACUCGUCACCUCCUUAGCUUCUCUCAGACGGACGCAUGUAAUUAGAGGUAGCCCGACGACCGAUUUCAAACAGGAAAGAAUUUUUCUGCUAAAAACGCAACGUUGCCGUUGAGUCAACUUCUCCACGAGUCAAUGCGCGUAACGCUGUGACAAAAGACCGGCAAACGAUAUAUCAGUGUAUUAUUUUGAUAUUUUUAUCGUAAACGAACUUUUACGCUUUUCGAUCAUUUAAUUUAAG